GGAGACGGCCAUAGUAAUUAGGAAACACCUGGUCUCAUUCCGAACCCAGUAGUUAAGCUGGUUACGCCGUUUGUGUUAGUGUCCGACAAGACGCGAAGCAAUGGUGCUGUCUCUC
rnacentral:rRNA from 1 species